rnacentral:rRNA from 1 species
AUGAGUUGCGGGAGAUCUGAAAACACUACCAGAAAAUGCAGGACGCGUUCAACACCUGGUGAAACGAUGUAUCUACAUACUGCAGAUGCUAAAAAGAUCACCCACUACCAAGCUAAUCUACCAACAACAAUGGAUCGCGAUAUCGGCGCCUACCCUGUGAAGCACCACUUUCCGUCUCCUAUAGUUUCUUGGAUAGAAGACCUUUCUAGCUUUGGCGAUGUUCCUUUUAGUCAUGAUACUGAAUACGUGGAUGAUCAAUCAACACCUUCAUUUGGGCAGUCUUUUGCAUCUAGCAAUUUGCAUGACAUGCAAAUAUCAGUGAGAUUGACAGACGAAUUCAUGGAACUUGCAAAGGAGAAUACAAGCAAUAAUCUAGAGGCCUGUGGAAUUCUUGGUGCUUCAUUUAGGGAUGGAACUUAUUAUGUGACAACAUUGAUCAUUCCAAAGCAAGAAGGAACUGCUCACUCAUGUCAAGCUUCUAACGAGGAGGAGAUACACGCCGUAUUAUCAGAGCAGUCACUUUACCCUGCAGGGUGGAUACAUACUCACCCUUCACAAACAUGCUUUCUAUCGUCGAUCGAUUUGCACACUCAAUUCUCUUAUCAGGUCAUGCUACCAGAAGCUGUUGCCAUUGUUGCUGCUCCCACCGAUCCUACUAGGAGCUAUGGUAUAUUCAGGUUGACAGAUCCAGGAGGCAUGGAUGUGCUCAGGGAGUGCAGUGAGAGUGGGUUCCAUACUCACCGAGAGACGACGGAUGGCGGUCCAAUAUAUGAAACCUGCACCAACGUGCAUUUCAAACCUAAUUUGCGGUUUGAGAUUGUCGAUCUGCGUUCUGGUGCGUGA